CCUGGCGGCACUAGCGCGGUGGUCCCACCUGACCCAAUGCCGAACUCAGAAGUGAAACGCCGUAGCGCCGAUGGUAGUGUGGGGUCUCCCCAUGUGAG
rnacentral:rRNA from 1 species